GUGCUUACUUCGGCAGCACAUGUACUAAAAUUGGACCAACAGAGAGACGAUUAGCCUGGCCCGUUCAAGGAUGAUGUGCAAAUGUGUAAAGUGUUCCCAAAAAAU
rnacentral:snRNA from 1 species